GAAACCCAAAGGAGUUGACUGGGACCCGCACAAGUAGCGGAGCAUGUGGUUUAAUUCGAAGCAACGCGAAGAACCUUACCUAAGCUGGACAUCCCAAUGACAUCUCCUUAAUCGGAGAGUUCCCUUCGGGGACAUUGGUGACAGGGGGUGCAUGGUUGUCGUCAGCUCGUGUCGUGAGAUGUUGGGUUAAGUCCCGCAACGAGCGCAACCCUUGUCUUUAGUUGCCAUCAUUAAGUUGGGCACUCUAGAGAGACUGCCAGGGAUAACCUGGAGGAAGGUGGGGAUGACGUCAAAUCAUCAUGCCCCUUAUGCUUAGGGCUACACACGUGCUACAAUGGGUAGUACAGAGGGUUG
rnacentral:rRNA from 1 species